rnacentral:rRNA from 1 species
GACGUAGGUGGCGAGCGUUGUUCGGAAUCACUGGGCAUAAAGCGCACGUAGGCGGCUACGUCAGUCGGGUGUGAAAGCCCUCGGCUCAACCGAGGAACUGCGUCCGAUACUGCGUGGCUUGAGGUCCGGAGGGGAGAGUGGAAUUCCCGGUGGAGCGGUGAAAUGCGUAGAGCUCGGGAAGAACAUCGGUGGCGAAAGCGCUCUGCUGGACUGCAACUGACACUCAGGGACGAAAGCUAGGGGAGCGAAUGGG